rnacentral:rRNA from 1 species
AUUGAACGCUGGCGGCAGGCCUAACACAUGCAAGUCGGACGAGUGGCGGACGGGUGAGUAAUGUAUGGGGAUCUGCCUGAUGGCGGGGGAUAACUACUGGAAACGGUAGCUAAUACCGCAUACCAUCAGAUGAACCCAGAUGGGAUUAGCUAGUAGGUGUGGUAACGGCUUACCUAGGCGACGAUCCCUAGCUGGUCUGAGAGGAUGAUCAGCCCAACUGGAACUGAGACACGGCCCAGACUCCUACGGGAGGAAGCAGUGGGGAAUAUUGCACAAUGGGCGCAAGCCUGAUGCAGCCAUGCCGCGUGUGUGAAGAAGGCCUUCGGGUUGUAAAGCACUUUCAGCGAGGAGGCGUUACUCGCAGAAGAAGCAUCGGCUAACUCCGUGCCAGCAGCCGCGGUAAUAC